GACGAACCGAGCGAACGUUGUUCGGAAUCACUGGGCUUAAAGGGCGCGUAGGCGGCUUGGCAAGUGGAUGGUGAAAUCCCUCGGCUUAACCGAGGAACUGCCGUCCAAACUGCUUUGCUUGAGGCCGGGAGAGGUGAGUGGAAUUCCCAGUGUAGCGGUGAAAUGCGUAGAUAUCAGCAGGAACACCCGUGGCGAAGGCGGCUUCCUGGGCCGCCCCUGACGCUGAGGCGCGAAAGCGUGGGGAGCGAACGGG
rnacentral:rRNA from 1 species